rnacentral:rRNA from 1 species
UACAGAGGGUGCGAGCGUUGUCCGGAAUCACUGGGCGUAAAGGGCGCGUAGGCGGCCUGAUAAGUAGGGGGUGAAAUCCUGUGGCUCAACUGCAGGCUGCCUCCUAGACUGUCGGGCUUGAGCACGGUAGAGGCAGAUGGAAUUCCCGGUGUAGCGGUGGAAUGCGUAGAGAUCGGGAAGAACAUCGGUGGCGAAGGCGGUCUGCUGGGCCGGUUGCUGACGC